AUAUAUAUUUUUAAAAAUAAACUCAUGAAGUGUUUUAUCUUUAAAAAUCAAAGCUAUUUCUUAGCUCCCUUCCAGAAACAAUGGGAAGUCUAGUUGCAAUGAGCAUAACCACCCCGAGCAGAGCGUGGAAAUGCCAUUUCUCACUGAAAAUGACCAGGCUUCUUGGCAAAUGGCCGAUUCCAGAUCUAGGGCAGGAAACAUACAAGCUGGGCCUGGAAUAUUGUGUCACGUGAGACAGCAAGGAAGCCACCAAAGAUUUCGAGAGUAGGGUCAAAAGGAUUCAGAGGCAACGUGGUGAGACACCCAAUGGCCAAAGACAGGGCAAUCUGAGCUUCAGUAAGGUAAUAUUUAAAGUGGAUUGAAGUCUAUGCAAUAUGUGUGAAUUCAUAAGUUAGUUCACAAUGCUGUUAAAAAGAGUGAUCACUAGAAGAUGACAGGGAAAAGUUUAUCUUGAAAAUUGGUAAAUAAAGGGAAAAAUUCAAAUAGUUAUUUUUCUUUUCCUGCAUGAACAUUACCACUGGUUAACCAAAUCACAGAUGUGGGGGAACAUCUCUUUUACAAAAAAUGUUCCAAGUAACACACAAAAAAGAAAUGAUAGCAUUAGAAUACUCUCCAACCCACAAUAAAUCACUGGAUCUAGGCACCGAGUGUCAAGUUUAGCCGACGUCACAAAAAGACUGAACCGGACAGUCUUGCCAAAAGUCUGCUCAAACCUCUGGACCCAUGUGUCAAUGUCCAGAGGACAGAGGAACAUGCUGAAUUGUGCCAUGAGCCUGCAAUCAAUACAAUACAGACUUGGGAAACUGUGAAUCAUAAGACCAGGUUCUCCAAUUGGUAAAUUUUAAGAAAAAGAAAGAACGGGGGAACGUGUAAAAAAGGGAUGUAAACGAUACAUCUCAUAACAAUUUUAAAUGAAUAAGAUAAAAAACAGUGUGUAGAGAUACACCCUUGGGCAAUAAAACACUAAAGAAGUACAAGAAAGUGAUUACUACUGGAAUCAAUGUAAUGGUUACUUUUGUGGGGUUGGGGACGAGCAUUGUGAACUGUGACAGGACACGCAGAGGACAUCCAGGGUGGCUGACAAGAGUGCUUUCCUAUCAUAAUGUGAUGAGCUAUAAUUCUGUUGGGUUUUCAGUAUUUUUUUAUAAUUUCUCUAACGGCGGAAAUAAAAAUAACAUCAAAGCCCUUUGGAUUUUCCACUAAAAAUUAUGGAUGUGAAUACCUCUACUAUCAAUAACAGCUGACGGUUCUUAAGAACUUGCCUACAUUAUAGAAAUAUUCCUAAAUAAGCUACAAACAUUUGAAAAAUAGAAUAUUAAAUUCUUAGGUAUGCAGUUAUAAAAAGUAAAAGAAUUAGGCAUACAUUCCUAACAUGAAAUUAAUUUUGUUACAUCAUGUUAUACAAUUUGGUUAAAUGGACUUCAUCAACUUCCAAAAUUUUCCUUCCCUACCAUACAAAGUUAUUCAUGUUAUUCUAUUAGUGAUUAGAACAUGAGCACUGGAACAGAUUUCAUAUUUCCUUGCAUGUCCACAAUUGGUUUCACGUUCCAUCUUUUUACAUAGAACAAGGAUUAGUUAUCUUGCCCUACCAUGAUGCUGUUUAUUAAUAAGUAGCGUGACACAUACUGUCAUCCAGUUUGCAAAUAAAGAUCCUUCGCCCACCAAUCCCAGCCUUAGGUUCUCUUUCAUAGUAUAUUAAUGGCUAAUGGAGACUCUUUUUGUUUGUUGAGCGUCUAAAAGGCUCACGGAUGUAAAACAGAUUUAAACCAUCAAGAUAAAAGCAGUUUUAAAAUGCGAGAGAACUGUGUUGUACAUUUCUGCCCGUCAGACAUCGACAAUUCCCCUCCAACUGUUCAAGCAGCAUCUUAACAAAUGGUGCAACUGUAUGGUCUCCUUCCUUCUCCUUUUCACGACAUUAUGUGGUGUUUGAGUGACUCACAUAUUCCAGAAGUGACCGGUCUAAUACCCUUCGGAUAAGAGCUUCCUCAAUUAUAUUAAAAU